rnacentral:rRNA from 1 species
GACGACGCUGGCGGCGUGGAUUAGGCAUGCAAGUCGAACGGUAUCAUCCUUCGGGGGUGAGAGAGUGGCGAACUGGUGAGUAACACGUAGGUUAUCUACCCUCAAGACGGGGACAACCCAGGGAAACUUGGGCUAAUACCGGAUGUGAGCAACUUUUAGUUGUUUGAAAGGUGGCGUAAGCUGUCGCUUGGGGAUGAGCCUGCGUCCUAUUAGUUAGUUGGUGAGGUAACGGCUCACCUAGGCAAUGAUAGGUAGGCGGCCUUAACGGGUGGUCGCCCACACUGGGAUUGAGAUACGGCCCAGACUCCUACGGGAGGCAGCAGUCGAGAAUAGUCUACAAUGGUCGGAAGACUGAUAGUGCGACGCCGCGUGAACGAUGAAUCCCUUCGGGGUGUAAAAGUUCUUUUAUAUGUGAGCAGUGCUUCUUAUAUUAACAGUAUGGGGAGAGAGAUAUUAGCAUAUGAAUAAGCAACGGCUAACUCCGUG